AUCGACCCUUCGGGGAGCCUGAACAGGUGCUGCAUGGCUGUCGUCAGCUCGUGUCGUGAGAUGUUCGGUUAAGUCCGCUAACGAGCGCAACCCUCGCUGUGUGUUACAAGUGUCACACGGUACUGCCGGUCUAAAACCGGAGGAAGGUGGGAUGACGUCAAGUCAGCAUGGCCUUUAUAUCCUGGGCUACACACACGCUACAAUGGCCGGUACAGUAGGUAGCGAAGCCGCGAGGUGGAGCCAAUCCACAAAGCCGGUCUCAGUUCAGAUUGCAGGCUGCAACCCGCCUGCAUGAAGAUGGAGUUGCUAGUAACCGCAGGUCAGCUAUACUGCGGUGAAUACGUUCCCGGGCUU
rnacentral:rRNA from 1 species